AUAAACAGGGUCUGAUUAGGAACAGUCAACAUGGAUAUGUGCCUGGAAGGUCAUGUUUGACUAAUCUUCUUGAAUUUAUUGAAGAGGUUACUAGGGAAAUUGAUGAGGGUAAAGCAGAGGAUGUUGUUUAUAUGGACGUCAGUUAGGCCUUUGACAAGUUUCCUCGUGGAAGGUUGGUUAAGAAGGUUCAAUUGUUGGGUAUUAAUGGCGGAGUAGCAAGAUGGAUUCAACAGUGGCUGAAUGGGAGAUGCCAGAGAG